CAUGUGGCAGGCUGUUGUAAUCCAUCUCUAUUACAUAACCCAGCAAAUAUUCUGCUAAAGUUCAGUUAUAUUGCAGGGCUGGUGAUGGCGAGGAUCAGAUUCUCCUUUACAACUUCUUCCCCUUUGGAAAUCAGGGCAGUUACACGCAAGUGACAGCUUUUCCUCUGCUCACCAAGUCCAGUGAGCAGGCAAAGGCGCUGUGUUCGCCUUCAUACCGGGCAUGUUCUGCUCGUCGAGGAGCAGGUGGGCUCUCACAGUGAACUCAUCCAGUGGUCCAUCCCGCCUGUGCAUUUCAUAAGAAAAAUUCCAUGUUGAGGUGAGAUGGAAAGCUCUGUGGUGGUGAAGGGGAGGUGAAGCAGUUUUGUGUCUUUUCUUUUACAUAUUCUAUGAGUGCAACAUUGAGCACACGCUAUAAUUUACAAUGACUUUGCCAGCAUAAAUUUACUAAUAUUUCACCCACAAUAAUUUUACCAACUGGACACUUUUUUUUUUUUCCAGCCUGUUCUGGCAGAGGAACUCACACAGAUAGAAAUCUGAUGGUGCAAUUGUACUAAAGAAAACCCUGCAAGCACAGCCAGGACUAAUUACUCUAACCUCAGACCUGGCUGCUGUCCACACGACGAGGCUCUGUGCCGGCACAUGGACUAGCAGAGUUUGUAGAGGAACAAACUGAUGGAGAAACAGGAAUGAAAGGCUACACUUGUGCAACCUUUAUGGCCCCAGAAAUACUUCAACAUACAAUGAAGAUGUUAUGCCAGUAAGUUUUGGUCCAUAGAUGCUACUACUUAGUAAGCCCAUAGGGUUAAGCCUAGAAAAAUGAGGAUCUUGAAGGCAUUUUAAAAUUCAUCUGUAUCUUGUAACCAAGUAAAGUUAUGUAAUUGCCUGUGCUGAUGUAAAGACGUGGAUGUAACCUUGAGACAUGGCUAUUCCUUUGGUAUUUGACAGAUUGUUGGUGAUCGUUUUCCAGAAUGAAUGGACUCCAGAGUGGGUUGAACAGGGUGGAGGAAGC
rnacentral:lncRNA from 1 species